rnacentral:rRNA from 1 species
AUUGAACGCUGGCGGCAUGCCUUACACAUGCAAGUCGAACGGCAGCACGGACUUCGGUCUGGUGGCGAGUGGCGAACGGGUGAGUAAUGUAUCGGAACGUACCAUUGAGUGGGGGAUAACGUAGCGAAAGUUACGCUAAUACCGCAUAUUCUCUCCGGAGGAAAGCAGGGGACCGCAAGGCCUUGCGCUCUUUGAGCGGCCGAUAUCAGAUUAGCUAGUUGGUGGGGUAAAAGCUCACCAAGGCGACGAUCUGUAGCGGGUCUGAGAGGAUGAUCCGCCACACUGGAACUGAGACACGGUCCAGACUCCUACGGGAGGCAGCAGUGGGGGAUUUUGGACAAUGGGGGCAACCCUGAUCCAGCCAUGCCGCGUGAGUGAAGAAGGCCUUCGGGUUGUAAAGCUCUUUCGGCCGGGAAAAAAUCGCAUGGGCUAAUAUCCUGUGUGGAUGAUGGUACCGGAAUAAGAAGCACCGGCUAACUACGUGCCAGCAGCCGCCGUAACAC